AUACCACCCUUUAAUGUUUGAUGUUCUAACGUGGACCCGUAAUCCGGGUUGCGGACAGUGUCUGGUGGGUAGUUUGACUGGGGCGGUCUCCUCCUAAAGAGUAACGGAGGAGCACGAAGGUUGGCUAAUCCUGGUCGGACAUCAGGAGGUUAGUGCAAUGGCAUAAGCCAGCUUGACUGCGAGCGUGACGGCGCGAGCAGGUGCGAAAGCAGGUCAUAGUGAUCCGGUGGUUCUGAAUGGAAGGGCCAUCGCUCAACGGAUAAAAGGUACUCCGGGGAUAACAGGCUGAUACCGCCCAAGAGUUCAUAUCGACGGCGGUGUUUGGCACCUCGAUGUCGGCUCAUCACAUCCUGGGGCUGAAGUAGGUCCCAAGGGUAUGGCUGUUCGCCAUUUAAAGUGGUACGCGAGCUGGGUUUAGAACGUCGUGAGACAGUUCGGUCCCUAUCUGCCGUGGGCGCUGGAGAACUGAGGGGGGCUGCUCCUAGUACGAGAGGACCGGAGUGGACGCAUCACUGGUGUUCGGGUUGUCAUGCCAAUGGCACUGCCCGGUAGCUAAAUGCGGAAGAGAUAAGUGCUGAAAGCAUCUAAGCACGAAACUUGCC
rnacentral:rRNA from 1 species